UACGUAGGUCCCGAGCGUUGUCCGGAUUUAUUGGGCGUAAAGCGAGCGCAGGUGGUUUAUUAAGUCUGGUGUAAAAGGCAGUGGCUCAACCAUUGUAUGCAUUGGAAACUGGUAGACUUGAGUGCAGGAGAGGAGAGUGGAAUUCCAUGUGUAGCGGUGAAAUGCGUAGAUAUAUGGAGGAACACCAGUGGCGAAAGCAGCUCUCUGGCCUGUAACUGACACUGAGGCUCGAAAGCGUGGGGAGCAAACAGG
rnacentral:rRNA from 1 species